GAAUCAGUCAUGACGAAAUACUAAUGGCGCGAUAGUUUCUAUGAAAUGGCUUCAAACCGUGCACAGCUUCACGAUUGUCUAUCUGAAAAUUAUAUGGGAAACAGUAUUAAUCUACGAUUUUCGUUUAUGCUUACUCGCAAAGAUAAUUUGUAAUGCUAUGUCAGCAAUAAAGAACGAUUAAAAAUCAUUUUCUUCAGAUACAUACAACGAUAACGAAUUUCGCGAGAAUACGAUUGCGAAAUAUUCUGUGUCAAAAUCAAUAUUUUUUAAUUGGAUAUCCUAUGCGACGAACGAUUACCGUUUCGAUGCAAACCCGGGAAAAAAAAAGUGAAAUCUGAUCUCAAUUUCCGCUCAAGGAGCAACGACACUAUUUUACAAAACUGGUCCAUUUCGCAGGGGCGUGACUUACGAUAUUGAACAAGUAUCUUGGUGAAUGGAUUUACACGAGCCACAUGGGACUUUCAUUUUUUAAGUAAACCGAUAACAAUUCUCCCGAUGAAGAGGAAUUUUUAUUCUUCAAUGGCCUUACAUGGACACGCGUGUAGAUUCAAUUUAUUUAGUGAAAGUUGAAAGCUGAAUCGAUCGGGAUGGUAAGAUGAGCAUAAUUUCAAUGUAAUUAUCUAAUUAAUUAAUUUCUUUUUUUAUGAAAAAUUCUUUUUCCACGAAAAUGACAACUAUGACAAUAUAUUGGACAUGAAAAUGAUACCGUUAUCAUUACUAGUUGAUUGGAAUACAUGUAUGCUAAUCCACUAGAUUAUAAAGUAAUUUUAAAGUGGAAGCCUUUCCAGGAAUACUCGUCGCUUAUAUUUUCCUACGUUGACGAUAUAGAUCAGUCAAUUCCAAGCAGAUUGAUCGUUUUAUUAAAAAAACUAUUAAGUUUUGAAAUCAAAGAUUGGUGAACGAAAGAAAAGAAAGGAAUCCUCUUUAAGAAGAGUCUAUAAGAAGCUAUAAGCAAUCCCUGGUGUUAUAGUAAUCACAAUACAACGGGGUUAAAGAACUGGCUAUUAUUGUCAUCGUACGAGGAACGCCAGUAGAAAGUAACCUGUUACGUCAGUCAUUAAUAUUUAAGUCACUAUGGUAAUUUGUUGCUUCCGAAUUAGGUCACGGUCCAAUCAGGCAUCGAGAGAAAGACGAUUUAACCCGAGUUGCUCUCCCAAAUAUCGCGUUAAGGUUCAUUGAUGACUUUGAUGUUUAGCGUGUUGUCUGCUGCAGGGGUUAUCGAUCACUCCCCUUACAAAUUUAGCCAAAUAAUUAUACUAAUUAGGAAAAGUUUCAGAAACUAUGGUGUUUUAGUAUUAAUCAUUUUGUGCUUCAGCGUUGAGGCGACGAUUCGAAGUAAAAUUUUUAUCACGAUAUCGUUGUAAUUGCCACUUACACAAUAGGUCGAAGAUAUGAAAAUUUUCGGUCUCAUUUAAAAUUAGAUAAUCUGUCGGAAUUAUUGAAUACUAAUUGUAAAGAAAGUUUUUCAUGUGAUUUCAUGUGAUUUUGUUAUUCACCAGGAAAUUCGUAUCAAUUUCUUCGAGUGUAAAUAGUUGCUUUUUGAAAAAAAAAAAAAAUAAAGAAGAAAUAAUACAUACUAUAAUUGUAUAAUUUCGUGAAUUAAAUUGAUCGAAUAGUAAAGUAAAACUAAGGGAAUG